GAGCAACUCGCCUCUACUCCAAGAAAACUGUCUCCUCCACUACCUCUUUUGUCAAGAAUCGAAACUAAUAUAUAACCGAUACGAAGACCUCAAACCAUCAGAUUCAUCUGCGCAGAGGAGCACUGCCGAAGCACAACCCAUGUAAAAAACAACAAAAAACUCUGCAAGUAACUUGCAAUUUUAUAUUUCAAACAGUGAGGCUAUAGAGAGGCAAAAGUUCAGUACUGCAGCUUUAAGUGCAGAGACAAAAUGACUAAUGUCAGGUACUUUACAUUAAACAUUAGCAUUUAUAUGUGGGAUUGAGCUCAUCAUUGUACUGCUGCUGCUUAUUAUCACAUUGCACAGUUGUCCUAACUCAACAGGCAGAUGGCAUUCCUUUAUAGAAAAAUGCACUAAUGCAGCUUGAAAAGCUUAUAUUGAACAGAGAGCUUGUGGGACUUUGCUGUUCCAUUAUUUAUCUAAAUGAAUUUCCGUUCUUCCUUCCACCAGAGAAAAUCAUUCAUUAAGAUGUGACCAUAUAUGAGAAAAUCUGAAUGAAAUGUUGAGUAUAAUCAAAUUGUUUUAUUGCUUUUUGUAUUGUCCAUCCAUCCAUCCAUCCAUCUUCUACCGCUUACUUCUUCAUCAGGGUCAUGGGGGAACCUGGAGCCAAUCCCAGGGAGCAUCGGGCACAAGGCGGGGUACACCCUGGAUAGGGUGCCAGUCCAUCGCAGGGCGCAAUCACAUACACACUCACACACCCAUUCAUAUACUAUGGACACUUUAGACACACCAAUCAGCCUGCCAUGCAUAUCUUUGGACUGGGGGAGGAAACUGGAGUACCCGGAGGAAAACCCCGCAACAUGGGGAGAACAUGCAAACUCCGCACACACAUGGCCCUGGCGGGAAUCGAACCCCAGACCAUGGGGGCGAACGUGCUAACCACUAAGCCACCAUGCGUCCGCUUUUUGUAUUGUGUUGAUCAUAUUUAAUAGACAUUCUACAUCAAAUACUAUUUGGAUAUAUUACUAAUUAGAUCUCUUUUUAUCUGAAACUCAACACUAGCGUGACCAAGAGCACAAAGGAAUCGGUGAUCAUUUAGUAACACGCUUUUGUCUCUCUGAGGACUGAGAUUCAGAAGCAUUCGUAUUUUUUCUCUUUCAGUUGCUCCCAUUUGAAGUCAUCCCAGUGGAUAACCCGUCCACAUAUUUUGAUUCUGGCACAAGUUUUACACCAGAUGCCCUUCCUGAUGCAACCUGCCCCAUUUACCAGGCUUAGGCCCAGCACUGAGAGUCCACUGGCUCACGCAAUCUUCCAGUAGCUGAGGUUGGUUCCCUGACCGAGAAUCAAACCUGGGCCACGGCGGAUGCUAGUCACUAGUCCACCAGGGAACCUCCAGAAGCACCUCAUUACAGAAGGAUAAAAGAACCACAGAGCCUUGAAAGGGAUGCGGUCUGGAAAUUUCGCACAUCCUGAGUGAAACUGGGGAGAAUAUUUUCAUGACUUCUUUGACUUACUGACUAAGCUUCAUGGACCCAUGGGGUUCCCCAGCCUUCACUCUGAGAAAGACUGAGCUACACUUUCAGUUAAUCAGGAGCAGAAAAGCAACCAGUUGCAGAGGUGAACUACCUCUUCACAUACUGUACAUUUCAUGUUUUUUUUGUUUUGUUUUGGUUUUUUUUACAUAUGAUGAUGUGAAUAAUAUGUGAUCUCACAUGUCAAAAUAUGUGAAGGUGCAUUUCACUAUAUUAUUGCCAUGAAAUUGCACAUAUGAAUUUGCAUGAAUUUAUACUGUAUGUUAAUAAUGUGGGAAUAUAAAACCAUAUGUGGGAAACCUAAUGUGCAAAUGAAUAAAUCAUAUGAAAAAUCACAUGUGGAAAAAUAAAAUCAUAUGCCCUAUGUAAGGAAAAAUUUACGUGAAAAAAUCAUGCAUUGCGCAGUGUAAAACAUGAUAGCCCCAUUAUGUGAACUUAUUUCUUCUCUUUAACUCCAAUUGUCAUGAGCAUUUUUAGAUAUUGAACUCAAGUUUAUGCGUUUUCAAAAAUUAAAAUUAAAGUAAUCCGUUGUUUUGACUUGGAAAAAUUGUAAAAUGUAACUUUUUGAGUUGAAACAUAGGUUAUCUUCAGGUUGAGUUUACUCACAUUUUUAAAGCAGCAGGACUUGAACUUUCAUUUCUAAGUUUAACCACUUGAAAUGUUUUACAGUGUGGAGAAAAAAGAAUCACGUGGAAUAAAACCCUAUGCAUUACAUAACAUGUUUUGUAAACAAAACAAAUAAAUAAAAACAUGAAAAAAUACAAAAAUAAAAAUGAAUGCUUUGUGCAAAAAUGUGUGAAACUAAACACUGAAGUGUCUAAAAAAAUGCAUAUGUGAAUUAUGAGAUUAUUGAUUGGCAUCAUUAAAUAAAUAC